rnacentral:tRNA from 1 species
GAAGAAAGUCAUAGUGGCUAUGGGGCUAGCUUGAAACUAGUUUUAGGAAGUUCGAUUCUUUCCUUUCUUG